AAAUACAUAGCCCAUAGAGAGUUUGUUCAGCUGUGUUCUCCAGGCAUUUCAGCAACUGCUGUCAGGGGAGAGAGUACUCUGUUGAAGCCAUUUAUGACGAGACUCUUUGUGCUGUAUCCGUCCUAAGGCUGGAGAGGAAUGCAUUUAUGGAAUUCUUAAAUCUUGCCAGAAGAGGAAGGUGAAAACAGGAAAUGAUGAGCAGGAGGACGUCAGAAAAACCUAGAAAAACUGAUUCUGAGUGAAAUGAGCAGAACCAGAAGAACAUUGUACACAGGAAUGGCCACAUUGUAUAAUGAAUGACUUUGAGAGACUUGGCUCUUCUCAGCAAUGCAAGGAUCUAAGACAACUCCAAAAGGCUCUUGAUGGAAAAUGCUAUC